GCACCGGUGGCGCAAUGGAUAGCGCAUCUGACUUCGGAUCAGAGGGUUGCAGGUUCAAGUCCUGCCCGGUGCACCA
rnacentral:tRNA from 1 species